CCAUUGGUGGUUCAGUGGUAGAAUGCUCGCCUGCCACACGGGCGGUUUCGAUUCCCGGCCGAUGCA